rnacentral:rRNA from 1 species
UGCGCAGGCGGUUAUGCAAGACAGAUGUGAAAUCCCCGGGCUCAACCUGGGAACUGCAUUUGUGACUGCAUGGCUAGAGUACGGUAGAGGGGGACGGAAUUCCGCGUGUAGCAGUGAAAUGCGUAGAUAUGCGGAGGAACACCGAUGGCGAAGGCAAUCCCCUGGACCUGUACUGACGCUCAUGCACGAAAGCGUGGGGAGCAAACAGGAUUAAAUACCCUGGUAGUCCACGCCCUAAACGAUGUCAACUGGUUGUUGGGAGGGUUUCUUCUCAGUAACGAAGCUAACGCGUGAAGUUGACCGCCUGGGGAGUACGGCCGCAAGGUUGAA